rnacentral:rRNA from 1 species
CAGUCGCCGCGGGAAUACGUAGGGUGCGAGCGUUAAUCGGAAUUACUGGGCGUGAAGCGUGCGCAGGCGGUUAUAUAAGACAGAUGUGAAAUCCCCGGGCUCAACCUGGGACCUGCAUUUGUGGCUGUAUAGCUAGAGUACGGUAGAGGGGGAUGGAAUUCCGCGUGUAGCAGUGAAAUGCGUAGAUAUGCGGAGGAACACCGAUGGCGAAGGCAAUCCCCUGGACCUGUACUGACGCUCAUGCACGAAAGCGUGGGGAGCAAACAGGAUUAGAUACCCCCGUAGUCCCUGUCUCUUAUAC